CGGAACGGUCACUUCUCCGGUCUGCAGCCUGCCCGACCGAAUGAGCGCGUGCAAAUUGCUAAAGGCACCCCACGUUUAUAAAGCGGAGGCCCAGCCUGUCUUCUGCCCGCACGAAUUCGAAUCCGCCGGAGGCGGAGGAGACAGCAGCCGGGUGAUUGGGUUGGGUACGCCUCUCGUCUCGGCCGAUGGCGUCGCUGUUCGGCAACGGCGGCUACAUCUACUCCUCGGGGUCGGAGGGGGAGGACGAGGACGAGGGCACGGAGGGGUACCGGAAAGGCGGGUACCACGCCGCUCGCCCCGGGGAUCGCUUCGCCGGUGGGCGGUUCGUCGCGCAGCGGAAGAUCGGCUGGGGCAACUUCUCCACCGUCUGGCUAGCCUACGACACCCUCCACAGCAGAUUUGUCGCCCUGAAGAUCCAGAAGAGCGCAAGGGAUUACGCGCACGCGGCUCUCCACGAAAUCGAGCUACUGUCGGCUGUGGCCAAAGGAGACCCGACGAAUUCAAAGUGCGUGCUUCGGUUGUUGGACCAUUUCAAGCACGCUGGCCCCAACGGGCAGCACGUUUGCCUGGUCACCGAGUUCCUCGGUGAUAGCCUGCUCCGGCUGAUACGGUACAAUCGGAACAAGGGCAUUGGGCUGAGCAGAGUGAAGGAAAUCUGCCGAUCAGUCAUGGUCGGCCUUGAUUACCUGCACAGCGAGCUCGGCAUCAUCCACACGGAUUUGAAACCAGAGAACGUUCUUCUGGAAUCAACAAUUAACCCGGCCAAGGACCCAGUGCGCUCUGGGUUCACACCGAUCCUCGACCGGCCUGUGGGGAACCAGUACGGUGGCACAGUGAUCAGUUUCAGUGAGAAGAUGCUCAAGAUGAGAGCAAGGCGUGCAGUGGCUAAGAUUUCGCAGAGACGGGUUUCCCUUGGUGGGGUUGGGGCAGAACUGGAGAAAGAGAGGUGCCUGGAUGGGAUCAGUUUGAAGUGUAAGAUUGUCGAUUUUGGGAAUGCCUGCUGGGCCGAUCAGCAGCACGCUGGUGAAAUACAGACAAGGCAGUACAGAGCUCCUGAGGUUAUCAUUGGUUCUGGGUACUCAUAUUCCGCUGACAUCUGGUCGUUUGCUUGCAUUGCCUUUGAGCUUGCCACCGGUGACUUGUUGUUUGCUCCCAUGAAUCGCCAGGGAUGCAGCGAAGAUGAGACAGCACGAUAUUUGGUGUAUUCAUCCACUAAACUUUCAAACACUCCCUUGCAAUUAUUCGGACAUUUAAAAAUUGCACUGACACAAAUAUAUAUAUCAGGUAGUGGGGGCACUUCAGAAUUUAAAACGAUAUAUUCAAUCCUGUAAUGUACCCAACCUGUGACAGCUUUCAAUCUAGCUAACGGAGAGCUUUAUGGAAAUGAAAUUAGAACUAACUGGUCCACUAUGGCAGUAUUUAAAUAAACUUACCAACUUUGAUGAUGCUGCUAUCGCUGGCAGUUUUUUAUCGUGAUAAUAUGCUUCCGGGUCCCUUUCUAUUUGUAUAGCAACUGUAGAUUCAAAUAGCCUAAACUACCAUGUAGAUUCAAAUCAUUUUGUAUAGUAACUGUAAGCAGAAACUGCACUUUGUCAAUUCUACUGAAGGUCACAGAAAAGGGGGAUGACUUGUCAGCUGUUCCCUUUGUAGUGACAUUUUCUUUCUAGAAAAGCAAGAUCAAGCUAUAUGAUUAUGGUUGCCGGAAGUAAUAAUGCCUUGCAAAAAUUGAAGUACCAGUGGACUGACAAACAAUUAGUUGCAUGUACAACUUUUCUGUUCUGUUACCCGGUCGAAUGCUCUGUUACUGAGAAUAUGAUGCCAUGCCUAUGACCACUUGGCUUUGAUGAUGGAAACUCUUGGGAAGAUGCCUCGGAAGAUUGCUAGCUCAGGAACUCGUUCCAAGGAUUACUUUGAUCGGUAUGGAGAUUUGAAAAGGGUCAGGAGACUGAAGUUCUGGCCCCUAGACCGUGUGCUCGUAGAAAGGUACAGUUUCAGCGAACCCGACGCCAAAGGGUUCGCUGACUUUCUUCGGCCAAUGUUAGAUUUCGCUCCGGAGGACAGGCCAUCUGCCGCGCAGUGCUUGAAACACUCUUGGCUUAAUUGAUCCAACGCGACACGAAAGUCUGACCAAUAGAUGUUUACAUACAUCCUACGUGCAAAUUCGCUGCCGAAGACUCUUUGUGACUGUGAUUGCAGAUAUCCACGGACUUUGAUUUGAUGUAACCAAGGCUGAGAAUCAGGAGCCACUUUUUAGGCGCAGCCUGAUGAGAACGGGACAUGAGAUUCAGCUCGGAUGUAGCAAGCGUUUCGCUGGUGUGUUUGGGGGUGCAGACUGCAGAGCUAAUGUGAUGUUAACCUGCAUGUGUGUUAGUAGGGCCAAAAUAUUGAUGUAUUAUUAUUUUUUGGUAAUGUGAUCUGGCCAACAACCUUUUCCUUUAGCUGAGAAGAUGAACUGCUACAGCACUGCAGUGUAGUGGUUCAGCUAGUUAUCCAAUGGAUUGUGUGCUGUAACCUGUAACAUUUGUUUGAAAUUGACCUUAUGGAUAUCGGAAACCAACCACUUGGUGGUGCAAA